rnacentral:lncRNA from 1 species
CGGCAGAAGUAGCUCUUGCCUUGCUUCGAGUCGUGAUGCCCAAAGUGACACCACUUACGAUGAGGACGCUCUUGUUCUUUACGCCAAUUACGGGAACAGUUUGAGCCUUCCUUGAUGCCAUUAAUUUUGGAAGUGUGCUUUGAAUUUCUUGAACUGAGAAAGAGAUGAGAGGUAGAGAUAGUCCCACUGGGCGUGCCAAAUUUGUAAACACGAAAUUUUCCUGAAACGAAAGAGACAAGAACCACGUGCACAAAAUAAUAUUUGUAUUUGAUGAUUUUGGGUUACAAUCUCUCAUAAAUUUGAUCAUCUGAUUCGAUCUCCGUAAGGUGUUGAUUUGUGGAUGUGUGAUUGAUCCAAAUGGUCGUUGGGCUUGAUCUAAGGAUGAACGUUCUUCAAGGGCUGUGGGCUUGAUCUUUGAAGGUGGAUUUGAGCGGAUCUUCAAGGAGCCGUUGGGGCUUGAUCUUGAGGAUGAGUGUUUCUUCAAAGGCCGUUGAGGCUUGAUCUUGAAUAACGGUGAUGAACGGAUCUUCAAGGGCUUUUGGGCUUGAUCUUGAAGAACAAUGAUGAACGGAUCUUCAAGAGCUUUUGGGCUUGAUCUUGAAGAACGGUUGGAUGUAUGGAUUUGUCAACGUUGUUGAUCCAAAGGGCCGUUGGGGCUUAAUCUUAGGAUGAACGGAUGAUGAACGAUGAAUACUUUCUUCAAGAGCCGUCGGGGAUUGAUCUUGAAUUGGUGGAAGUUCUUCAAAUGGCCGUCGGGGCUUGAUCUUGAAGGUGGAUGAUUGUUGAUCCAAGGACCGUCGGGGCUUGAUCUUGGAAGAACGAUGAACGAAGAACGAAAAUGGCUUUCUUGAUUCUUCGGGAACCUAGAUGCUUGAGAGCUUCGGAGUUUUAGAGUUUCAGAGCUUCAAGGUUUUGGUGUAAUAUGAAUUGGUGAAAUGAAAUGAAUGAAAUUGGCUUCUAUUUAUAGAAUUUUCCAAGGCCUAAUUUUGAAUAUAAUAUCCCAGAUGAAAUAAGUUGUUUCUGCCAGGUGUUGACACGUGUCCUGUUUGAUGACUUUUCCAACUUAUUUCGAAUUUUUGUUUAGACACACGCUACGUGUAAAAUUUAUGUAAUACAUGAGCGUUGAAACUUUGAUUUAUCGGUCAACAUUUAUUUACCGAAAUUUCGAUGUCUACACUCAUGUUGUUGAAGUGACUAAAUUAAUUUCUAGUUGCCAUAAUUGAAAUUGUUUUGUGUUUGUGUUAAUUUGAUGUUUCUCAUGCUUAUCACACCUACAAAUCCGUCAAUAUGGUUGAAUUAUUGGUCAUGCUGACCUUGCUUUUUCUUUUGAGUUUUCAGAGCAUCUCCACCAGUUGGUGGAAGGCAAGAGCAACAAUGUUGCUCUCAAACCCAAAAAACACCUCCAACAAUCCAAAUAAGCAAGGGCAAGUGGUGUGCCAACCACUACCAGCCCAAGUGCCCUUAAGCACAACCUACUAUCUUUGAGCAAGCUGACGUCAACGCCUUUUUUAUUUUAUUUUUGUUAGGCAUGUAUAACACACACAUUACUGAGGGAGAGUGGCCGAUAUGGCUGCAGCGGUGGGCUCUGCUGUAGUAGUGCAGUCAGAUAUUUCCAACUGUAGGUACAUGUGGCUCCAUUUAAAGCCGUUGGUUUUCCAACGGUAAAAAAAUUAUAAAUAUUAGUUUUGCGCCACGUGGCGCUAUUUGAUGCGUCUGG